CUGUGCUUCAGAAGCUCUACCCCAAAUGAGAUAACUAAAGCUUCCUGCUUGGGGUGGCAGCGUGGGUGUGGGGAGGGUUACCCUUAAGGUUCUGAUUUGGAAUAUGCCGAACCCUAUCCUUUGGAGUUCAGAACCUCCGUAGACCGACCUGGGUCCAUAGUUACUCAUCCUGAUGCUCAGGACCAUGGUAGAACCAGAAGUAUCAAUCCUGGCUAGAGGAAGUGUUAUCCUGGUGUGAUGGAAUCAGACAUCGGCAGAAUACUGGACUGGAAUUCCACAUAGCUUUUGAAUGAAAAUGGCCCAUAUUUGGAUGACUGAAAAGGAGCAAAGACGACCAGUGGCCAUUGGAAAGGUGACAGACGGAGA
rnacentral:lncRNA from 1 species